rnacentral:rRNA from 1 species
AGAGUUUGAUCAUGGCUCAGGAUGAACGCUGACAGAAUGCUCAACACAUGCAAGUCUACUUGAAUUCUCUUCGGAGAUAGUAAGGUGGCGGACGGGUGAGUAACACGUAAAGAACUUGCCCUGCAGUCUGGGACAACUAUUGGAAACGAUAGCUAAUACCGGAUAUUAUGCGAGAGUCGCAUGACUCUUGUAUGAAAGCUAUAUGCGCUGCAGGAGAGCUUUGCGUCCCAUUAGUUAGUUGGUGAGGUAACGGCUCACCAAGACCGCGAUGGGUAGCCGGCCUGAGAGGGUGAACGGCCACAAGGGGACUGAGACACGGCCCUUACUCCUACGGGAGGCAGCAGUGGGGAAUAUUGGACAAUGGACCAAAAGUCUGAUCCAGCAAUUCUGUGUGCACGAUGACGGUCUUAGGAUUGUAAAGUGCUUUCAAUCGGGAAAAAGAAAGUGAUGGUACCGAUAGAAGAAGCGACGGCUAAAUACGUGCCAGCAGCCGCGGUAAUACGUAUGUCGCAAGCGUUAUCCGGAUUUAUUGGGCGUAAAGCGCGUCUAGGCGGUUUGGUAAGUCUGAUGUGGAAAUGCGGGGCUCAACUCCGUAUUGCGUUGGAAACUGCCAGACUAGAGUACUGGAGAGGUGGGCGGAACUACAAGUGUAGAGGUGAAAUUCGUAGAUAUUUGUAGGAAUGCCGAUAGAGAAGUCAGCUCACUGGACAGAUACUGACGCUGAAGCGCGAAAGCAUGGGGAGCAAACAGGAUUAGAUACCCUGGUAGUCCAUGCCGUAAACGAUGAUUACUAAGCGUCGG